UAAAGAAUUUCGGUCAUCGAUGGGGAUGCGUUCCAUUAGCUUGUUGGCGGGGUAACGGCCCACCAAGGCAUCGAUGGAUAGGGGUUCUGAGAGGAAGGUCCCCCACAUUGGAACUGAGACACGGUCCAAACUCCUACGGGAGGCAGCAGUGAGGAAUAUUGGUCAAUGGGCGCUAGCCUGAACCAGCCAAGUAGCGUGAAGGAUGACUGCCCUAUGGGUUGUAAACUUCUUUUAUAUGGGAAUAAAGUGCAGUAUGUAUACUGCUUUGUAUGUACCUUAUGAAUAGGGAUCGGCUAACUCCGUGCCAGCAGCCGCGGUAAUACGGAGGAUCCGAGCGUUAUCCGGAUUUAUUGGGUUUAAAGGGAGCGUAGGCGGGUUGUUAAGUCAGUUGUGAAAGUUUGCGGCUCAACCGUAAAAUUGCAGUUGAUACUGGCAUCCUUGAGUACAGUAGAGGUAGGCGGAAUUCGUGGUGUAGCGGUGAAAUGCUUAGAUAUCACGAAGAACUCCGAUUGCGAAGGCAGCCUGCUGGACUGUAACUGACGCUGAUGCUCGAAAGUGUGGGUAUCAAACAGGAUUAGAUACCCUGGUAGUCCACACAGUAAACGAUGAAUACUCGCUGUUUGCGAUAUACAGUAA
rnacentral:rRNA from 1 species